AGAAACUUAGGAUAAUACUUUAAACCAGGGGCCUUCAAAGCCCUAAACAAGAGCACCCACCCUCUUAGUUUCUG
rnacentral:tRNA from 1 species